rnacentral:rRNA from 1 species
CCUACGGGUGGCAGCAGUGAGGAAUAUUGGUCAAUGGGCGGGAGCCUGAACCAGCCAAGUCGCGUGAGGGAAGACGGUCCUAUGGAUUGUAAACCUCUUUAGGCGGGGAGCAAUGCCGGGCACGUGUGCCCGGCGGGAGAGUACCCGCAGAAUAAGCAUCGGCUAACUCCGUGCCAGCAGCCGCGGUAAUACGGAGGAUGCGAGCGUUAUCCGGAUUUAUUGGGUUUAAAGGGUGCGUAGGCGGAUUUUUAAGUCAGCGGUAAAAUGUCCUGGCUCAACCCGGGCCGGCCGUUGAAACUGGGGAUCUAGAGUGUGCGAGAGGUAUGCGGAAUGCGUGGUGUAGCGGUGAAAUGCAUAGAUAUCACGCAGAACCCCGAUUGCGAAGGCAGCAUACCGGUGCACAACUGACGCUCAGGCACGAAAGCGUGGGUAUCGAACAGGAUUAGAUACCCGUGUAGUC